rnacentral:rRNA from 1 species
AAUUUCACUAAAAAUCAUUAACCCUCCAAUAUUACUGAAUGAUUCUAUAAUAAUAUAGAAAACAUAAUGCUAGAACUAGUAACAAGAAUUUUAAUUCUCCAAAAUGUAAACAUCCACCAAACAACCCGGUAAUUAACGAAUGUGAACCCAUUUCAGCAACCACCAAGAAAACUCUGUAUAAUCCUUCGUCAACCUAACACUAGAACAUUCCUGGAAAGAUUUAAAGAGAAAGAAGGAACUCGGCAAAUUUCGACCCCGCCUGUUUACCAAAAACAUCGCCUCUUGAUUAACAAUAAGAGGUCCAGCCUGCCCAGUGACAAUUCAACGGCCACGGUACCCUAACCGUGCAAAGGUAGCAUAAUCACUUGUUCUUUAAAUAAGGACUAGUAUCAACGGCAUCACGAGGAUCACACUGUCUCCUUUCCCUAAUCAGUGAAACUGAUUUCCCCGUGAAGAAGCGGGAAUAAAACUAUAAGACGAGAAGACCCCAUGGAGCUUUAAACUUUCAGCAACCAAACCACACAUCCCCUUAUAACCAUAAAGUUAUGCUUAACAGUCUUAGGUUGGGGCGAUCGCGGAGUAAAAAUUAACCUCCAUGACGAAAAGAACUAAUCUUUAUCCAAGACCUACUACUCUAAGAAUUAGAACACUAACGUUCAUGACCCGAUAAACGAUCAACGGACCAAGUUACCCUGGGGAUAACAGCGCAAUCUACUUCAAGAGCUCAUAUCGACAAGUAGGUUUACGACCUCGAUGUUGGAUCAGGGCAUCCUAGUGGUGCAGUCGCUACUAAUGGUUC